CAGCCGCCGCGGGAAUACGAAGGGUGCAAGCGUUACUCGGAAUUACUGGGCGUAAAGCGUGCGUAGGUGGUGGUUUAAGUCCGUUGUGAAAGCCCUGGGCUCAACCUGGGAAUUGCAGUGGAUACUGGGUCACUAGAGUGUGGUAGAGGAUAGUGGAAUUUUCGGUGUAGCAGUGAAAUGCGUAGAGAUCGGAAGGAACAUCUGUGGCGAAGGCGACUAUCUGGGCCAACACUGACACUGAGGCACGAAAGCGUGGGGAGCAAACAGGAUUAGAUACCCCUGUAGUCCCUGUCUCUUAUAC
rnacentral:rRNA from 1 species